GACGAACGCUGGCGGCGUGCUUAACACAUGCAAGUCGAACGGAAAGGCCCUGCUUUUGUGGGGUUCUCGAGUGGCGAACGGGUGAGUAACACGUGAGUAACCUGCCCUUGACUUUGGGAUAACUUCAGGAAACUGGGGCUAAUACCGGAUAGGAUCUCCUGCUGCAUGGUGGGGGUUGGAAAGUUUCGGCGGUUGGGGAUGGACUCGCAGCUUAUCAGCUUGUUGGUGGGGUAGUGGCUUACCAAGGGUUUGACGGGUAGCCGGCCUGAGAGGGUGACCGGCCACAUUGGGACUGAGGUACGGCCCAGACUCCUACGGGAGGCAGCAGUCGGGAAUAUUGCAGAAUGGGCGGAAGCCUGAUGCAGCAACGCCGCGUGCGGGAUGACGGCCUUCGGGUUGUAAACAGCUUUCGCCUGUGACGAAGCGUGAGUGACGGUAAUGGGUAAAGAAGCACCGGCUAACUACGUG
rnacentral:rRNA from 1 species